ACUUUUCAGAUGUCUCUCUCUCUCUCUCUCUCUAAGAGCUGCUCUCCUCUCUCCUUUCUUCUAUCUAUUAAAUUUUCCACUCCCUAACCCACCCACAUGUGAUUGUGUCCUGAAUUCUUGGUGUGUGACGAUGAACCCCAGGGUGUAUACCCCAGACAGCACAGCCACUUCACCAGCAGGGACAGCAGCUGUCACAUGAACUGGAGAUGAACUGGAGGUGAGUCUGAUGUCUCGGAAUUUUGAGGAAAGUGGGUAGAAAGUUGCCAAGCAAGCUGAAGAGACAAGCAAAAGGGAUCAUAUUCCAGAAGAAUUCUUAGCAAGACCACAGUCAGAACUUCAAUCAAGGUGAUUGAUUGGUCUGAAAGGGGGAAUAGAAUGUAAAUAAAAUACAACCAUGAGAAACCACAUGUAUGUUGUUGAACCUUAUCUAGACACUAACUGUGAAAAAGCCAGCUUGGAUUAUUGAUGAACGACAUUCAGAAAACCACAAUUUUGCCAUGCUUAUUUAGAGAACAGAGACAGUGGUAUUAUCAGCCUAUAGCUCAAUUGUAAAAUUGGGAUGACUAGAUGUCCCGAGACUAUUCUGUUCCUCGGCCCUCUCGACACUCACCUAAGAAGCUUCCAAAUUUACCACUUCUCAGUCAUUGUAAGGAUGCUGCAUGUCAUAAGGAUGAUUAUGGAAGAUUAUGGGCAUGUUCUACAUAGAGAACAAGAAAAGUCACAAUAUUUUCUUUUAUAAAUUUAUAUUUUGGAAUUUAUAUUAGUUCCCCUAACUCUAAAUAACCAUGGGAAUAUUGACAAAUUUGAUUUUCCAGAACUUUAAAGCUGAGGCUAGACACUAACCACAGUGACUUUAUCUAUGUAGUAGCACACUCUACCAGCUGGGAUGUCUGGAUAACAAGUUCCCCAGAUUGCAGCCUCCCUCCAGCACCAAGUAGGAUUACGAGUCUGUUUGGUUUCAUUUUAGCUAUGUAGAUUUGUCAAAUUUUGUCACCUCUGGACUUCAGUUUUCUCAUAUGUAAAAUGAUGCAUUGGCCUGAAUGUUUUCGGAGAACCUUCAAUCUCUGUGAGUCUCUUCACUGAAAAAAUUGUUGACUUUCUUUUUUUUAUUGUUCUGUUUUUCUUUUCUAUGUCAAAAAAGCACUAUGGUAAAAGUCUUUCAGUAAAACUUGAACCUUGGGGCUUGUUCCUGAGUUUGACAUGUUAAACAAAUGAAAGAACUGUUUUCAACUGAUUAGUCAUAUCCUUCAAUUCCUACGGGAAUAUGGGUUCGUUGUGCAUGAGAAAGUCAGCCAACUUUGGCAUGAAGAUGUCUUUCAGGUAGGUAGGCCACCUGUGAUGAAGUGAAUCAUUGAAGAAAGUCUAUUUUCUUGUGGCAUAAAUACAAGCCUGAAGAUUACACAUAAGCUGUCAUACACGUACCUCCUAAAUGCAAUUCCUCAGAAGUGACAUGCUAUCAUCAUUCACAUUAAUGUCUAUUUGUGCAACUACAUUGUUUAAAAUAAUCAACCAAUUCAUCACAAUAGAUAUUUGGGAGGAGUGAGGGAGCUUUCUCUGUACUAAUGAAAGAAAUGACAUUUCUGUUUACCAUUUGUCAGUUUUAAGUAGUUAAUAAAUAUCUGAAAUGAUUUUCAUAUUUUGAUAUGGUAUUCACUUGUAAGGAUAUGCAAUUUUUAAGAGUUAUGGUGAGAAUGUUUCUUCCAUAACAUUCAGCUUUGAAAAGUUUUA
rnacentral:lncRNA from 1 species